GCCCGGAAGUGAUGUCAUCGGAACUGUGCAAGGUCCCGUCCAGAGCUGGCUGCUGUUCCGCUAGCGAGCGGCAUGCUUAGUGAAGAAAAGCUUAAAGGCCGUCUUUGCCCAAAACGCUCUCUGUGCGCACCUGCAUUUCCCCCAGAUUUGCAGGUGAUGAGAGUUCUGUAAAAUUACACAGCUAGUGACUGAUCCAGCGGAGGCCGAAUACAGAUGGAGUCUCACUCUGUUGCCAGGCUGGAGUGCAGUGGUGCCAUCUCAGCUCACUACAACCUCCACCUCCGGGGUUCAAGCGAUUCUCCUGCCUCAGCCUUCCGAGUAGCUGGGACUACAGGUGCCUGCCACCAUUCCCAGUUAAUUUUUGUAUUUUUAGUAGAGAUGACAUUUCACUAUGUUGGCCAGGCUGGUUUUGAACUCCUGACCUCGUGAUCCACCUGCCUCAGCUUCCCAAAGUGCUGGGAUUACAGGCAUGAGCCACCACGCCUGGCCCAAAUCCUAUUUUUCAAUAUUUAUUUCCUAAUUAUGUCCUACUAGGUUAGGUUUUAUUUUCAUUUGUUACAUAUUUAUUGGGUUAUUUCCUUUAUGCUAGGAACUUUAUUAGUAUAAGGAUACAGAUAAGGUCCAUUCUCUGUUCUCAAGAAUCUGAGUCUACAGGCAGAAGACAAAAUGCAGUACAGAAUUAUGGAAAUGUGAAUGGAAACUGCAUUCAGAGAGGGGUAUUGCUUGGGAAAAGCCACAUUGGCGUGCCACAGAUGUAUGCCAGCCUGGCAGGCCCAUAGUGUGAUUACUUGAGUUUCAAUAUCUGAUUCUUUUAUAGGCUUGAAAUUGGUUUAUCAGGUCUGGAAGUGACUGGACUCUGGAGUACUGAGUUACCCACCACAAACUGCUAAUAAAAUGCUGUGUAAAAGCCAUUAAAAAAAAAAAAA
rnacentral:lncRNA from 1 species